rnacentral:rRNA from 1 species
GACGAACGCUGGCGGCGUGCCUAAUACAUGCAAGUAGAAUGCACAGUUUAUACCGUAGCUUGCUACACCAUAAACUGUGAGUUGCGAACGGGUGAGUAACGCGUAGGUAACCUGCCUGGUAGCGGGGGAUAACUAUUGGAAACGAUAGCUAAUACCGCAUAAUAUUGAUUAUUGCAUGAUAAUUGAUUGAAAGAUGCUAUUGCAUCACUACCAGAUGGACCUGCGUUGUAUUAGCUAGUAGGUGAGGUAACGGCUCACCUAGGCGACGAUACAUAGCCGACCUGAGAGGGUGAUCGGCCACACUGGGACUGAGACACGGCCCAGACUCCUACGGGAGGCAGCAGUAGGGAAUCUUCGGCAAUGGACGAAAGUCUGACCGAGCAACGCCGCGUGAGUGAAGAAGGGUUUCGGAUCGUAAAGCUCUGUUGUAAGAGAAGAACGGGUGUGAGAGUGGAAAGUUCACACUGUGACGGUAUCUUACCAGAAAGGGACGGCUAACUACGUG